rnacentral:rRNA from 1 species
UCCAGAGGUCCCAAGCGUUGUUCGGAUUUACUGGGCGUAAAGGGUUCGUAGGCGGUCGGGUAAGUCUGAUGUGAAAUCUCAGAGCUCAACUCUGAAACUGCAUUGGAUACUAUUCGGCUUGAGGUCUGGAGGGGGGACUGGAAUUCUCGGUGUAGCAGUGAAAUGCGUAGAUAUCGAGAGGAACACCAGUGGCGAAGGCGAGUCCCUGGACAGAUCCUGACGCUGAGGCACGAAAGCGUGGGGAGCAAACGGG